GCAGCUCCGCGUUCCCCUUGUACGCGUUGAUCGACGUCGUGUUGAUUAUCGCGCUUCCUUCCUUCAUGUACUUCAGCGCGUGCCUGCAAAGAAACAGCCCACGAGGUGUUCGACGAAAUGUCACUUGAAAUAUGCCCACAACUUAUUCGAUGAAAUGGCACUGAGAGCAGGGGAAACUUUAUGUUUUAUGUGUAUGUUACCGGGUCAUGAAGAAGUAGGAGAAGAUGUUGGUGCGGAAGACACGUUCGAGCCUCGGCUCAUCGAUUUCCUCGACGGUGGUACACUCAUACUGCUCGGCAGCGUUGUUUAUAAGGAUGUCAAUCCUGCCGAAGGCGUUGGCGACCUCUUCGACGGCUCUACGGCA
rnacentral:lncRNA from 1 species